CGACCGCUAGCUCAGUUGGUAGAGCAGCGGACUCUUAAUCCGUAGGUCGACAGUUCGAAUCUGUCGCGCCCCACCA
rnacentral:tRNA from 1 species